rnacentral:rRNA from 1 species
GACGAACGCUGGCGGCGUGCUUAACACAUGCAAGUCGAACGGUGACGAGGAGCUUGCUCCUCUGAUCAGUGGCGAACGGGUGAGUAACACGUGAGCAACCUGCCCCAGACUCUGGGAUAACAGUUGGAAACAGCUGCUAAUACCGGAUACGAGGCGGAGAGGCAUCUCUACCGUCUGGAAAGUUUUUCGGUCUGGGAUGGACUCGCGGCCUAUCAGCUAGUUGGUGAGGUAAUGGCUCACCAAGGCGACGACGGGUAGCCGGCCUGAGAGGGCGACCGGCCACACUGGGACUGAGACACGGCCCAGACUCCUACGGGAGGCAGCAGUGGGGAAUAUUGCACAAUGGGCGAAAGCCUGAUGCAGCGACGCCGCGUCGAGGGAUGAAGGCCUUCGGUUGGUAACCGUACUUUCUACGCAGGAAGAAGCGAAAGUAGACGGUACCGUAGCAGAGAAGACACCGGCUAACUAACGUGCCAGCAGCCGCGGU